ensembl:rRNA 5S_rRNA 5S ribosomal RNA
CUUCCAGCAGCUAGCUCUCUGCAACUCUCACAUGGUCGCCCACUGAAGCUAAGCAGGGCUGCGUCUGGGCAGUACCUGGAUGGGAGACCACAUGGGAAAGCUAGGUUGCUGGAAGU